rnacentral:lncRNA from 1 species
AUAAACUUUUGCAUUCAGGUCAGAAUAUUUUUAAUUAAUUGGUUUAUAUUACAAAUGACAAAUGAUUUAUUUAUUCGAUGUAAGAUUUAUAAUAGUAGUUAUAUAUUAUUAAAACUGAUAUACCUAUUCUAUCGGAGGCACCUAUUGACCACUAUUCAAACAUUGAAUCAAGAGAUAAGCUAUAACCAUAGCGCAAUCCGGACAGAAAAGUUCAAAGAUCCUGACGUAUAAAAAUGUAGGACCUAACCCAAUUUUUAUUACAUGCCCCAGCUGCAGAAACAGCGGAACCACCAAGGUGGCAUUUAAAGUAUCAAAAAAGACACUGUUAUGGUCGGUACUAUUAACGAUGUGUUGCCUGUGGUGGCUGCCUUGUUUCAUGGGGGCUACCAAAGUGGCAGUUCACAGUUGUGGAACAUGUAGUGCUUUUAUAGGAAAAUCUAAAUAAAAUAUUUUGUUUGGUACACCUUGGAUCUAGUAGAUUCACCAAAAUAAAGUUUAUAAUAUAUGUACAGCAAUUCAAUGCA